rnacentral:rRNA from 1 species
AAGAAAUCCAGCUGGCUAAUACCCGGUUGGGAUGACGGUACCCAAAGAAUAAGCACCGGCUAACUUCGUGCCAGCAGCCGCGGUAAUACGAAGGGUGCAAGCGUUACUCGGAAUUACUGGGCGUAAAGCGUGCGUAGGUGGUCGUUUAAGUCCGUUGUGAAAGCCCUGGGCUCAACCUGGGAACUGCAGUGGAUACUGGACGACUAGAGUGUGGUAGAGGGUAGCGGAAUUCCUGGUGUAGCAGUGAAAUGCGUAGAGAUCAGGAGGAACAUCCAUGGCGAAGGCAGCUACCUGGACCAACACUGACACUGAGGCACGAAAGCGUGGGGAGCAAACAGGAUUAGAUACCCUGGUAGUCCACGCCCUAAACGAUGCGAACUGGAUGUUGGGUGCAAUUUGGCACGCAGUAUCGAAGCUAACGCGUUAAGUUCGCCGCCUGGGGAGUACGGUCGCAAGACUGAAACUCAAAGGAAUUGACGGC